CCUCUUGCAUCCUUCAGUCUCCAUCACUCCAGUCCCCCGCGAGGUCGCGGCACCGCCAGUGAGGACAUGAUGACGGGAGGACGACGAGCGACGUCAUGAUCUGACGUUCAUGGACUCGUCCCUCAACACCGUAGAGCUCCAAGAGCUGCGCAGCCCCACCGGGGGCUUCCAGAACGCUUCGUACCAACCAGACGAUGAGGCGCUUCACCAGCAGGGGGCGACCAGCUGCCCUCCCUCCACCUCAGGAAGCUGCAAGGAGCUCGCUCCUCGCUCAUGCGACGAGGAGGUCGGCCACGACGAAGGUCAGGAUCCGACUGAAUUCUGUCGCCAUGACAACCCAUCCGGUGACUCUGGUUUCCUGGUGGCCCUUGUGCUGCUCCUGAGCGGCAUUGUUCUGGUGGUGAUCGCCUACACCGUCCCCCGGGAGGCCAAAGUGGACCCGGACUCUGUGUCGGCCCGCCAGAUGGAGCAGCUGGAGAUGUACUACGCCCAGCUGGGCUCCCACCUGGACAAGUGCAUCAUCGCUGGCCUGGGCCUGCUCACGCUGGGCGGGAUGUUCCUCUCCGUGCUCCUCAUGGCGUCCGUCUGCCGGGGACACAUGUACCGGCGCCACGCCGCCUUUGUACGACCCAAGAGGACAUACGGCUCCAUCAACCUGAGGAUGAAGCAGCUGGCCACGGGGGAGGACGCGGAGGUGACAGCCAUGGGGGAAGAGUUUUCUCGUAACACCCAAUCCGGGAUUCCCGAACCGGGCGAUGUCGGCGAGUGAGACGGCUUAGGAAGGCCACGGAGGAUGCUAAACAAAGCACAAUCGAGAUUCGCCUCCUCAUUGGCUAACAGACUGAGCCAUCCAAUCACGGCGCAACAUAACUCCUUUGCAGGUCAUGACCUUCACCAGCAAUACAGAGACAAGGAAGGACAACCGCUGAGAAGAUGAGCCAGCAUGUGAGUCAGCUGCUAGAAUGAAGGAAGUAACCUUUAACUACACGCAGCGUACUUUAAGACUACAUUGAUAUGUAAACGUGUCGUUCAUGUCUGAGUACAUUAAGCCUUAAUAACGAGUAAACACACUGUAACGUGUCUUCAUUAACUAAAUGUUUGUGUAUAGAGAGCUGCAUAGGCAAGAGCAAUGUAAACACACACAGUUUUUAUGGUGGAUGUUCUUAAUUGAAGUCAAACAGUCUGUAAACGGAGGAGCUGGAGUGCACAGAAUGCCUAAAACUGACCAUUUCCUCCAUCCAUGGAACCCGCUCAGUGUUGCCAGCUGGCAAAUUAUCGUACCAGAAGCUUAAACCUAUCUUCUUUUGAGGAACAUUCCCAUACAUACCCGAUUUGGCGUUUGCUAAUAACCACGUAUUGAAGGUGUCAUAUGACCCUAUAUUGUGUUUAUUUUUCAUUAUUGAUUGUACUGAGGGCGACACGGCGGUCGAGUGGUUAGCGUGCAGACCUCACAGCUAGGAGACCAGGGUUCAAUUCCACCUUCGGCCAUCUCUGUGUGGAUGUUCUCCCCGUGCAUGCGUGGGUUUACUCCGGGUACUCCGGUUUCCUCCCACAUUCCAAAAACCAUGCUAGGUUAAUUGGCGACUCCAAAUUGUCCAUAGGUAUGAAUGUGAGUGUGAAUGGUUGUUUGUCUAUAUGUGCCCUGUGAUUGGCUGGCCACCAAUCCAGGGUGUACCCCGCCUCUCACCCAAAGACAGCUGGGAUAGGCUCCAGCACCCCGGCAACCCUCGUGAGGAAAAAGCGGGAAAAAAUGAAUGAAUGUACUGAAGGUGAAAUUAUGAUACAUGUACAAUAAUGAUGAUACAUCUGGCAACACUGGCAACCUACCCAUGAUACAUUGCAACUAAAAACAUUUUUAUUCUUUCUUUUAAAGAAAUGUUUUUGUGAGAGUAAUUGUGGAAUCUCAUUAACAUGUUUUAUUUGUUGGUGAGCAGAAAGCGGACGCAGGCUAGCUAAACAUGCUAAAGCUAAGAUGCCGACCUGUCGUAGAAACCUGAUGGCGGCCAUCUUGGGUGUGUAAACAAGCUCUGGUGAUGAUUGUAGAAUGAAAUUUUAAAAAGGUGACAAAAUGUUUGAGUUUUUCCUUUUGCCUUAUUCAGCUUGGCGGUCAUGUGACUGGAUAUGACUUCCCCAAAAUGGCGGUGUCGGGUAGAGUGGCUCUGUUCCAAAAGCUCAUGUUUUGGUCUCUAAAGGUGGACCGUGCACAUGGCAUCCAGUGUUGGUGGCACCCACCUACCUGUCAAACGUCUGCAAGUGGUCCUUGUCCACAUGCUCGUUGAGGUUGACGAUCAGGUCGGACCCCUGCUGUGUGCUGCGGUUCUUCAAACACAAUGAGAUCAAUGUCGAGACUCAAUUGACAAAUUGGUACAAAAAAGAGACACAAUUAGAUGCCAACAUUAAACAUGAGAUGAGACACCACAAUGAGAAAAAAAACAGUUCCAUAAAUGAGACACACAAAUGAGAUACACAUUGUCACAAAAACGAGAAAUAAAAAGUGAGACAUAAUGCAAAGAGACACCGCAAUGAGAAAAAAAUGUGUUUCAUAAAAGGAGACACACUGACAUAAAAAUGAGUGAAAAAAAUGAGACACCACAAUGAGGAAAAGAAAAUUAGUUCCAUAAUUGAGACACACAAAUGAGAUACACAUUGACACAAAAAUGAGACAUAAUGCGAUGAGACACCAAAAAGAGGAAAAAAAUUAAUUCCAUCAAUGAGGCACACAUCGACACAAAAAUGAGAAAUAUGAGAUGAGACAUGCACAAAUGAGACACAAACAUAGAAAAAAUACGAUACACAAUGAUGAUACACACUGACACAAAAAUGAGAAAUGAAAAAUGAGACACCACAAUGAGGAAAAGAAAAUUAGUUCCAUAAUUGGGACACACAAAUCAGACAUAAUGCGAUGAGACACCAAAAUGAGGAAAAAAAUUAAUUCCAUAAAUGAGGCACACAAAAAAUGAGACACAAUGAGAUGAGACACAAACAUAGAAAAAAAAUGUGAAAAAAAAAUACGAUACACAACGAUGAUACACACUGACACAAAAAUGAGAAAUAAAAAAUGAGACACCACAAUGAGGAAAAGAAAAUUAGUUCCAUAAUUGGGACACACAAAUCAGACAUAAAUGCGAUGAGACACCAAAAUGAGGAAAAAAAAUAAUUCCAUAAAUGAGGCACACAAAAAAUG